UCACGCCGUCACCGUCUCCCCCGGACUCGUCAUCGAUUGCGCGCGCUCGCGGCGCACUCGGGGAUCGCUCGCCAAGUUUCUCCCAGAGGUAGGCCCGUCAGGCCCGUGUAGCCGUCACCGCCUGCGUCCUCGCGUGUCCUCGCGGCCUGCAGCGGAAGAGAACGGUACGCGCGGGGCUCGCCAAUUUUCGAAUCGAACGAGAGAGAGAGAGAGAGAGAAAGAGAGCGAGAGAAAGAUAGUGGGACGGAAAGAGAUAGGUGCGAAGUGGAGCGAACGAGCAGGCGGGCGGGUCCUGCCGAAGCGUCGUCGCCCGUCGUUGCCACGAGAAUCGUUCCCGGAGCGGGCCUCGUGGCCCAGGAUCGGGCCAGUCAGCCAGCCAGCCAGCCACUUAUCGGCCGCCAUCUUGCUGCUCGACGAGAGAACGGUGACAGACGGGCCUGCCUGCUGUCGGAGCGGAGCGGAGAGCGCAGCGCGGUGAGUGAGGCGAAAGGGUGGAGGGGAAGGAGAGAGAAGGAGACAGAUAUAAGGUAGACGACGGUCCCUUCAUGCGGUACGCGCCUAUGCCAUCCCGUCGCCUAUGCCUCGCUCUCGCUCCACGUACAAUCGCAGAAGAAGCUAGUUGGAACCAGCGGAGAAUAGCCUAAGAAGAGGUGGUGGCGGAGAGGGAGGUGGUGAGGAGUAUCGGCCGUGCCGAUACCACCGUCGAGUGCUAGGUACAUACACAUACAAAGUUGCGCGAGCGCGCGCGCGCGCGCGCACACACACACGCACGUACCUUCGUCAUCGUCGUCGCCGUCGUCACCGUCGCCUCCGCUCGCAAUGGCAAUGGAGACGCCGAGGGAGCGAGAGAUCGCCGCCGAGGACAGCAUCAAGGUGGUCUGCAGGUUCCGACCGCUGAACGACUCCGAGGAGAAGGCCGGCUCCAAGUUCAUCGUCAAGUUCCCGUCCGGCGGCGAUGAGAACUGCAUCUCCAUCGGGGGCAAAGUAUACCUCUUUGAUAAAGUGUUUAAACCGAAUGCUACGCAAGACAAAGUCUACAAUGAGGCCGCAAAGUCUAUCGUCACAGAUGUUCUGGCAGGAUAUAACGGAACCAUUUUUGCAUAUGGUCAAACAUCGUCAGGUAAAACGCACACAAUGGAAGGAGUCAUCGGCGAUCCAAACAAACAGGGCAUUAUCCCGAGAAUUGUCAAUGACAUCUUCAAUCAUAUUUACGGCAUGGAGGAGAACUUGGAAUUCCAUAUCAAAGUGUCAUACUUUGAGAUUUACAUGGAUAAAAUCAGGGAUCUUCUCGAUGUAUCUAAGGUUAACUUAAGCGUACACGAAGACAAGAACCGGGUGCCGUUCGUGAAGGGCGCGACCGAGCGGUUUGUUUCUAGUCCUGAGGAGGUGUUCGAGGUGAUAGAGGAGGGCAAGUCAAACCGGCACAUCGCCGUGACCAACAUGAACGAGCACAGCUCACGUUCCCAUUCCGUUUUCCUUAUAAACGUCAAACAAGAGAAUUUGGAGAAUCAAAAGAAGCUCUCCGGCAAACUGUACCUCGUCGAUUUAGCAGGUUCCGAAAAGGUUUCUAAAACCGGUGCAGAAGGAACGGUGCUGGACGAAGCGAAGAACAUCAACAAAUCCCUGUCUGCACUUGGUAACGUGAUUUCGGCCUUGGCUGACGGCAAUAAGACUCACAUUCCUUAUCGUGACUCCAAGCUAACGAGAAUCUUACAAGAAUCCUUGGGUGGCAACGCCAGGACCACGAUCAUCAUCUGUUGCUCUCCCGCUAGUUUCAACGAAUCUGAAACGAAAUCGACUUUAGAUUUCGGUAAACGCGCUAAGACCAUCAAGAACGUUGUAUGCGUCAACGAGGAACUCACGGCCGAAGAAUGGAAACGUCGCUACGAACGCGAGAAGGAGAAAGUGGCGAGAUGGAAAGGCAAGGUGGACAAAUUGGAGGCCGAAUUGUCGCGUUGGCGGCAGGGUGAGACCGUCAAACCCGAGGAGCAGGUCAGCCUCGUUGAAGGACCGGAUGUUACCACACCGAUCACUGCACCCAUCGAAGUUAAAUUGGACGACAGUCCCAUGCCUGCUACUCCCGGCGGCGGUCUUAUGAUUGGUUCCCUCUCGAACGAGGAGAGGCAAAAACUCGAAGAGGAACGUGAGAGGUUGUAUCAACAGUUGGAUGACAAGGAUGAGGAGAUCAAUCAACAGUCGCAAUAUGUCGAGAAACUGAAGGAGCAGAUGGAGGAACAGGAGGAACUUAUCGCCAGCGCGAGGCGAGAUUACGAACAGUUGCAACAGGAGAUGAAUCGAAUACAGCAAGAGAACGAGAGCGCCAAAGAGGAAGUGAAGGAGGUGCUGCAAGCGUUGGAAGAACUUGCGGUCAAUUAUGAUCAGAAAUCGCAAGAGGUCGAGCUGAAGAACAAGGAACAGGAAUCAAUGACAGAAGAGCUCCUGGCUAAACAAGUAGCUUUGAACAACACCGCGUCUGAGCUGCAACAAUUACGUGACAUGUCGGCGCAUCAGAGGAAACGCAUCGCGGAGAUGCUAGCAAACUUCUUAAAAGAUUUAGGGGAGAUCGGGGUGGCUAUCGGUGGCGAGUCUAACGAAAACCUAAAAAUCGCUCCGCCGGAAAGCAAUGGUAAAUUGGAGGAAGAGUUCACGGUGGCGAGACUGUUCAUCAGCAAAAUGAAGUCCGAGGUGAAGAAUCUGGUCCAGCGGUGUCAGGGAUUGGAAAGCUUCCAAACAGACUGUAACAAGAAAGUUUCCGAGUACGAGAAGGACUUGGCUGAGUACCGACUGUUGAUCUCGCAACACGAAGCCCGUAUGCAAACGCUGUCGGAAUCGAUGAAGGAAGCCGAUGCACGCAAACGAGGUCUGGAGGAGGACGUGGAUGCGUUGCGCGAGGAAUGCGCCAAGUUAAAGGCUGCCGAACAGGUGCAGGCUGUUACCAACAAGGAGAAGGCCGAGGAGAAGGAGGCGGCGACGAAGAUGCGAGUGGCCUUGGAGGAGCAGAUGGAUCAGCUGAGGGAUGCGCAUCAAAAACAGGUUGCUGCGCUUAGGGACGAAUUAUCCGAGAAACAGGAACUGAUCAGCGAGCUCAAAGACCUCAAUCAGAAGUUCACUCUGGCACACCAGCAAAUGCAAGCCGAUUACGAACGGCUGAAACAAGAGGAGGCCAACAAAUCGGUCAAGCUGCAGGAACUUAUGCUGUUGAACGAGCGCCGAGAACAAGCAAGGAAAGAUCUCAAGGGUUUGGAAGACACGGUAGCCAAAGAACUGCAGACCUUGCACAAUCUACGCAAAUUGUUCGUCCAGGAUCUGCAGGCUAGAAUAAAGAAGACCAUCAAUGCGGAAGAUAACGAGGAUGAUGGUGGUUCCCUCGCGCAGAAACAAAAAAUAUCCUUCUUGGAAAACAAUCUGGACCAGUUAACGAAGGUGCACAAACAACUUGUCAGAGACAAUGCAGACCUUCGCUGCGAGCUGCCUAAACUGGAGAAACGAUUGCGAGCGACGAUGGAGCGCGUCAAGGCCCUGGAGACGGCGCUGCGCGACGCCAAGGAGGGCGCGAUGCGAGAUCGUAAGCGCUACCAGUACGAGGUGGAUCGGAUCAAGGAGGCGGUUAGGCAAAAGAAUCUGGCGCGUCGCGGACCGAGCGCACAGAUCGCGAAGCCGAUUCGGGCCGGUCAGCACCAUCUGAGUAAUGUCAACGCCAUCAGAACCGGCAAUCGUGAUUCACUUAAUUAAAAAGCCUACAUUGUGUGUCGUUGUGUGGGUUUGUUCGGUUUUGCGUUACAAAAGGGGUGGCGGCUCCCCAGGCAGCUCUGCGCUUUAGAAUAUGGGUAACAGCGUACAGUGAUCGUGAUCGCAUAAUGCCAAAAUACCCUUCACUUUUACAGAAAACGAAUGCAAGAACGCUUUCAUCGAUGAAAACAAAAGAAUUCCAGCGGCUCUUAUGUAUAACGGAUAUGCAUAAAUGUUAUAAUUAUUAUUAAUGUAAGGGCAUAGUACUAUAUUAUUCGCAAGGAGAGAGCACCGCCAGUUCUUUUAAUUGUUUCUUUCCUCUGUUUCUCAGAGCAAGCAUGUGCUUAGGUAUAUAUAAGAGAUAAAUGCAUUAAAUUAUAUACAAUAUAUAUGUGACAUAUAUAUACAAUAUAUAUAUAUAUGUGACAUAUAUAUAUAUACAUAUGUCACAAGCGCUGCAUGUCCUGUCGAUGUAAAUAGUUAAUUUUUAUAAAUUAUUUAUAAUUUAAUGUCACAUACAUAUAUAUGCAUGAUACCGAUUCGAUAAUAGGUAUUUUAAAAUAUGAACGUCUGAAUCGAACGAAUCACACGGAGAAGCCUCUCGCCAGUCUCGAAAUAAUUUAUACUUUAGUGUCUAUAUUUAAAUCGCACAGUCUAAAAAAUUUAAUGGAGAGAAAUACUAAGAAAUACUUGUCGCAAUCCAGGAUCCUCGUGAUCUCGAAGGAGAGGGGCAACGAAUGAAUAUUUAAGGUGUUUAGUUCGGAUACCGGUUCACUAAUCAAGAAAACGAUCGGACAUGCGGCUUCGAGCAAGCGUGAAGAUGAUCGCGUAAAGAUGAAUACUUACACAAGUAUUCGUAAUCGUAAGAAAUCUCUCUGCUAGCUGAUAAGAAUAACCUCGCGAUAAGAGCACUCUAUGCCUCAGCCGCUAGAACUCGGAUACAAAGUAUAAAUUGUAAUCGGCACGAAUUGUGUAAGUGGACUUUACGCACUCGACAGCAACAUUAUUUCCAAGUGGUCCAAGCGUAAAAGACGAGAAUUCAGACCGAGUUCUAGCGUCCUGGGCCCGGGCCCCGAAGGUCCCAGUGCGCUUUUUGCUCGGAGGGCACACUUGAUCUCUGGUCAAGCGAGGCAUUGCCUCUCCAGAGAGCUCUCGCGUUUACGGCGGCCGCGCCGGUGUGCGAUCUUAUCAGAGCGAGGAAAAUUCACGAGGACCUAUUCCGCGACGGGAAAGUAGAGCGAUUUGAAGCGACUAUACCGGCUAUCGUGCGUAUAGUUCGCCGACCAUUUCUCUCGCGUGCGUUUAAUUUAGAUUAAUUUAUCCCCGACACGCUCCUUUUGCUGCUCCCUGGCGACCACCGAGCGACGCUAGGCCUCGGUCUUCUUCCGACGAGCCUCGGACUUUCUUCUUCCCCGCUUCUUCCGAUCGAGCGAUGAAACCCAGUGAAAUCUGCCUGUCCCGAAAGGAAGGAAGGAAGGGAAGAGGAAGAGAAACUGUCGGAGUUUCGCGCUCCCGCGUCUCUCAUUCGCGGCGUCGCCUUCGUUAAUCCUUCUCGAGAGAUCCUCGCGAUUUGUUACUCCCUUUUUUAAACCUAGCUCAGUUCUCGCGCGUUUUGUAUCACGUUAUUUUCUACGCUCUUUUUCCCGCCCAAUUUACACGCGAUUUAUCGCACGUCUCUUUGUAAAUCCAUUUUAUAAGGCUUCUCUACGUAUGAUCACGCGCUCGAGAUAGCCGUAUCGUUGCUAAUUUAUAAUCACGAUAAGAUACGAAUUACGCCCGAUUAAGCGAAUGGCCCGGGCGGACGGUUAACGACGGCCUCUCACAGGUACGCUCGUAUACAUUUUUCUCGUACAUGCGGGCAUUCUGCGAGCCUGCGUUUAUCGCUUUUGUAACAGGUUCUCAACCGCGCGCAAUCGAUGUAAUCACCUUCUGUCGCGAGCGAGAGCUAUUUAUGGAAGCAGAUUUUAUUUAUAAAAAUCCAGUUUUUUUUUCGAUCCUCCUCGAGAUCGCGGAAAUUCUCAGAGCCGAGCUAAACUGAGAGCGCUCGCGGGACUUAUCUAACGAUAAACGGGUGUAGUGAGUCGCACCGUUACGGAAGCUUCUUCGCGGAGCAGCGGCGCGGGGAAGCGUGAUGAAGAUGUGUGAUGUAAACUCGACUCGAGAAGAAGUAUUCGACUAAUACUUGCUUUUUCCUUUACCACACUACCCAUUUCUCUCUCUCUUAACUUUUGUGAUAUAUAACUGUAUCGAGGACGAGGAAGUUGCGUUCUUUUUUUUUCCUCUUUGGUCGUACGUAUAGGCGAAGACGACCGACAAGUGUGCAUUAGUGGUGCAUUAAUGCGAGUGCAAUUAUCUUUAAGCUAUUUUUGUCGGAUGUAUGUAAAUAUACGAUAUACACAUACAUAUAUAUAUAUAUACACAUAUGUAUAUAUAUAUAUAUAUAUACAUAUAUAUAUAUACACAUGUCACGUUAGUUUCGCGUAACGUUUCGGAACGUAGAGAAAAGUGUAUGUUCCUCUCCGUGGUGAAAGAGGGAAGGCAAGCAUGCGUUCUAUGCACGAAUUGUAUUUAUCGCAGAUAUAACAUAAUACACACACACCAACACGUCUAUAAUGUUAAUGUUUCUCUCUUCAACGCGCGUCCCCCUUUAGACGCCGAUGAAUGUAUUUCUCUCCCUCCCCCAAUCGUGUUGCGCUGAAAACUGUAAUGCGCGCCUGUAACGGUCCGCGUUUCUCUCUCUCUCUCCCUUUCUCCCGCUGAUUCAUUAAAUUAAUCGAAAUCAUCGGCUUCGACGAACCAUUGUAAUUCCGCGAUCGUCGAUUUCAGAUUUCCCAUUCUUCGAAAGAAGUUUAAGAAGCACGAGAUUACGUAAGGAAUCAUGUAAGAAAUCGCUACCGAUCUUUGUGAUAGUAGGCGACAACAAUCCCUUUUAAAGCGCAACAGCAACGAUCGAUCCUUAUUAUUAACGAAUAACGAUGUAUGUGUAAUGUAUCGAAAUAACGUUCGCCGACGAACUCGCGGAAGACAGAGAGCUGUCGGUAUAUUAUUUUCAUAAUUGUCUCCGGCGUGUCUGAGAAAAGGAAAAAAAAAAGAAAACGAAUAAUAAUUACACUUACACCUAUCGCAAGUCAAGUAGGCGAGACUGUAACGAUUUAUGUGCACGCAGCCAUCCAGUCCAGUCACUGUUAAAGAAGAGGUCGAUCUACAAAACCGCGGUCUCUUCGUCUCGACGACGAGCGAAGCGUUCUUUCGUUUCUUUAUCGCGACUUCUCGAAAAAAAAAAAGACAAAAUAGAGAAAGAAAAGGAUUUCCCGUUCCGUUGUCGAGAGGACGAUCUCAGAGAAUCUCAGCGAGCAGAACGUUUAAGUUCCGACGGUUUACGCAAACGAUUUUUGUAAAGAUCCUUUUUUUUUGGUCAUGUACGAGAGUACUCUCCGCGAGUACGUUUUUCGCAUCAGCAAUCGAGUUCAGAUCUACCUCAUCUGAAACAGCAAUGUAGCGAAAUAAAAAAAAAACGAGACGAAAACGUGAAAAAAAGAAACGCAUAGCUGCAAUUCUAAACAUUUUUUUCCUAGACACUAGGCGGUAGCAAAUUUGUAUGCAGGGUGUAGAAGAGAGGCUGUAGCUACAAGGUACUAUUAUGAAUUGUAAUACAAUAUUCUCCUCGGAUUAAAACUGUAAUUUUAAGAUGAGAUAUCGUUAUUAUUAUUAUUAUUAUUCGAUUAUCGAAAAACGAACAGUGCUUAUAUUGAAAAAAAAAAGAAAAGAAUAAGGUAAGGAAAAUCACACGACUGUAUUCACUUUAUUUAUUUAUUGUCGCACCGCAUAUUGUCCCGGCGAAGUAAUCUCCGAAAGAAAUAUAUUUAUAAGGUAAUAUAAUAAAAAAUAUAAUAAAAAAAAUAUAUUAUACAUA